UACGUAGGGUGCAAGCGUUGUCCGGAAUUAUUGGGCGUAAAGAGCUCGUAGGCGGUCUGUCGCGUCGGCUGUGAAAUCCCGAGGCUCAACCUCGGGUCUGCAGUCGAUACGGGCAAACUAGAGUAUUGCAGGGGAGACUGGAAUUCCUGGUGUAGCGGUGAAAUGCGCAGAUAUCAGGAGGAACACCGGUGGCGAAGGCGGGUCUCUGGGCAAUAACUGACGCUGAGGAGCGAAAGCCAGGGGAGCAAACGGG
rnacentral:rRNA from 1 species